rnacentral:misc_RNA from 1 species
GCCUUCCUUCUUCUCCAAAAUUGCCUAUAAAGUCUGAAACUUUUUCCAACUCCAUCAGCUCUCCCCAUGAAAACCAACUCCAACACCUUCACAAACCCAACUAUUACAUAUUUCUCUUAGGCACUUCCUUAAUAUUUCUUUCUUUCUUCUAAAUUCUUCCCUCUAUUUUCCUCUGAAAUUAAUGGAAAGACACAUGAACGCUAUAUCGUCUUCUCCAACUUCCCCCACAACCUUUGUCCAAGCAGACGCAAACACCUUCAGAGACCUAGUCCAGAAGCCAAGUUUGAUUUCAAGCUUUCUCA